AACGACGCUGGCGGCAUGCCUAACACAUGCAAGUCGAACGAGCCUUCGGGCUUAGUGGCGCACGGGUGCGUAACACGUGGGAAUCUGCCCUUCGGUUCGGAAUAACAGUUAGAAAUGACUGCUAAUACCGGAUGAUGACGUAAGUCCAAAGAUUUAUCGCCGAAGGAUGAGCCCGCGUAGGAUUAGGUAGUUGGUAGGGUAAUGGCCUACCAAGCCGACGAUCCUUAGCUGGUCUGAGAGGAUGAUCAGCCACACUGGGACUGAGACACGGCCCAGACUCCUACGGGAGGCAGCAGUGGGGAAUAUUGGACAAUGGGCGAAAGCCUGAUCCAGCAAUGCCGCGUGAGUGAUGAAGGCCUUAGGGUUGUAAAGCUCUUUUACCAGGGAUGAUAAUGACAGUACCUGGAGAAUAAGCUCCGGCUAACUCCGUG
rnacentral:rRNA from 1 species